AUAAGAAGCAAUUUGCAUUUAGUUUCGACCUAAAAGAAAGAGUAUAUAAAUACUCCUUAUUUA
rnacentral:tRNA from 2 species